AACGAACGCUGGCGGCAGGCCUAACACAUGCAAGUCGAGCGCGCCUUCGGGUGAGCGGCGGACGGGUGGGUAACGCGUGGGAAUAUGCCCUUCUCUACGGAAUAGUCCUGGGAAACUGGGGGUAAUACCGUAUACGCCCUUUGGGGGAAAGAUUUAUCGGGGAAGGAUUAGCCCGCGUUGGAUUAGGUAGUUGGUGGGGUAAUGGCCUACCAAGCCGACGAUCCAUAGCUGGUUUGAGAGGAUGAUCAGCCACACUGGGACUGAGACACGGCCCAGACUCCUACGGGAAGCAGCAGUGGGGAAUCUUAGACAAUGGGGGCAACCCUGAUCUAGCCAUGCCGCGUGAGUGAUGAAGGCCUUAGGGUUGUAAAGCUCUUUCAGCUGGGAAGAUAAUGACGGUACCAGCAGAAGAAGCCCCGGCUAACUCCGUG
rnacentral:rRNA from 1 species